rnacentral:rRNA from 1 species
AGCAGUAGCCGCGGUAAAACGUAGGUCCCGAGCGUUGUCCGGAUUUAUCGGGCGUAAAGGGAGCGCAGGCGGUUUAGUAAGUCCGAAGUUAAAGGCAUUGGCUCAACCAGUGUAUGCUUUGGAAACUGUUAGACUUGAGUGCAGAAGGGGAGAGUGGAAUUCCAUGUGUAGCGGUGAAAUGCGUAGAUAUAUGGAGGAGCACCGGUGGCGAAAGCGGCUCUCUGGUCUGUCACUGACGCUGAGGCUCGAAAGCGUGGGUAGCGAACAGGAUUAGAUACCCCUGUAGUCCCUGUCUCUUAUACA